rnacentral:rRNA from 1 species
AUUGAACGCUGGCGGCAGGCCUAACACAUGCAAGUCGAACGGUAACAGGAAGAAGCUUGCUUCUUUGCUGACGAGUGGCGGACGGGUGAGUAAUGUCUGGGAAACUGCCUGAUGGAGGGGGAUAACUACUGGAAACGGUAGCUAAUACCGCAUAACGUCGCAAGACCAAAGAGGGGGACCUUCGGGCCUCUUGCCAUCGGAUGUGCCCAGAUGGGAUUAGCUAGUAGGGGGGGUAACGGCUCACCUAGGCGCCGAUCCCUAGCUGGUCUGAGAGGAUGACCAGCCAGACUGGAACUGAGACACGGUCCAGACUCCUACGGGAGGCAGCAGUGGGGAAUAUUGCACAAUGGGCGCAAGCCUGAUGCAGCCAUGCCGCGUGUAUGAAGAAGGCCUUCGGGUUGUAAAGUACUUUCAGCGGGGAGGAAGGGAGUAAAGUUAAUACCUUUGCUCAUUGACGUUACCCGCAGAAGAAGCACCGGCUAACUCCGUG